UACGUAGGGCGCAAGCGUUGUCCGGAAUUAUUGGGCGUAAAGAGCUCGUAGGCGGCUUGUCACGUCGAUUGUGAAAGCCCGAGGCUUAACCUCGGGUCUGCAGUCGAUACGGGCUAGCUAGAGUGUGGUAGGGGAGAUCGGAAUUCCUGGUGUAGCGGUGAAAUGCGCAGAUAUCAGGAGGAACACCGGUGGCGAAGGCGGAUCUCUGGGCCAGUUACUGACGCUGAGGAGCGAAAGCGUGGGGAGCGAACAGG
rnacentral:rRNA from 1 species